CCCUCUAUUUGAGCUUUGGGAUUUGAUGCU
rnacentral:piRNA from 1 species